UACGUAGGCAGCGAGCGUUGUUCGGAGUUACUGGGCGUAAAGGGUGCGUAGGCGGUUGUUUAAGUUUGGUGUGAAAUCUCCGGCUCAACUGGGAGGUGCGCCGAAUACUGAAUGACUAGAGUGCGGGAGAGGAUAGUGGAAUUCCUGGUGUAGCGGUGAAAUGCGUAGAUAUCAGGAGGAACACCGGUGGUGUAGACGGCUAUCUGGACCGUAACUGACGCUGAGGCACGAAAGCGUGGAUAGCAAACAGG
rnacentral:rRNA from 1 species